rnacentral:tRNA from 3 species
UUGGAAGAAACCAAAAAGAGGUGUAUCACUGUUAAUGAUAAAAUUGAGUCCAACUCCUUCCAAG